AUUGAACGCUGGCGGCAGGCCUAACACAUGCAAGUCGAGCGAGCGGCGGACGGGUGAGUAAUGUAUGGGGACUGCCCGAUAGAGGGGGAUAAAUACUGGAAAAGGUAGCUAAUACCGCAUACUACCGGAUUACUCAGAUGGGAUUAGCUAGUAGGUAGGGUAACGGCUCACCUAGGCGACGAUCCCUAGCGGGUCUGAGAGGAUGAUCAGCCACACUGGGACUGAGACACGGCCCAGACUCCUACGGAGGCAGCAGUGGGGAAUAUUGCACAAUGGGCGCAAGCCUGAUGCAGCCAUGCCGCGUGUAUGAAGAAGGCCCUAGGGUUGUAAAGUACUUUUAGUCGGGAGGCGUUACCGACAGAAGAAGCACCGGCUAACUCCGUGCCAGCAGCCGCGGUAAUUC
rnacentral:rRNA from 1 species